CCGGUCCUCUCGCUCCGGCCCCGGGAGACCGCGACCCGCAGGCGUGAGGCGGCGUGAGCCGCGGCUUCAGGGUUGUCUACAUACCCCGCUGCGCGCCGUCGUUUUGUGCCUGCGGGAAAAGUUCGCGCCGUGCGCGCCUCCCGCCCGCGGCAACGGGGCAUGGCCGCAGCGGUCGCGUUCCCGGGACGGAUCUCGGCCGGGAGGAACGGCCGCAGCCUGCGGUCGCCGCUUCACUGCAGGUAAGGUCGGGUAGGAAAAAAGCAAAUAGCGACAAAGGUGCUUUGCUACAGCGGCCAUCGACAGCGCGAGAAGGCGACCCGUGUUCACGAGAAGACAUUUUCAAGAAACCGAACAGGUCAGAGAUCGCAGCGGAAGCGAGGGCCAACUUUUGUACUUCGUGAGAACAGGAUAAAUCCCAACAGAACCAGCGAAGCGAGGCAGGCAGGGAAGUUACCACCAUGCGGAAGCUCUGAGGUUUACGGGCUGUUGGCACAGGCACUUAAAAAAAAAAAAAAAGGAGGGGGAGUUAAGGAGCCUUGGCCUGAGCCAGCCCCGGCCUGGCCAUCGGGAAAGCGGAGGGGGCUGCGCUGCACAGCUGCAGCCCUUGGCGCUACGCACCUGGUAUCCUCUUUUUUCCUUUUUCUUGGGUUUUUUUUUUUUUUCUUCAUCGUCUCAAACUCAGCCGGGGCUGAAGUGCACUUCAAGAGCCAAGAACUGCUCUUUAUAAGCCGUAACAGCUGAGAUUAAGAUGACGCCGUAGCACAACAAACACCCGAGUUAGUUCAGGAUGAACUACAUAGAACAGCAUCUUCAGAACUCAGAAACGUUUGCUUCCUUUCCCCAGUCAACACACGCAUUUUGAAGUCAACAUUAUUUCUAAAUAGAGCUGAUCUCAGCAUAAAGAAAUAUGUGCAGGCAGAAAGAUGCCAUUGUUUUCCGUUUCCUCUUGAGCCACUGUGGCUGUGAUUUUCAUUGUGGCAGAGGAUCUUCAUUAGUAUUAACACAUGGGUAGACUUCAUAAAGCUGCUUCAUUAGCAGGGAAAAAAAAAAGCUUGGCAGCCGUGCUCUUUUUGCAUGAGAUGAGAAUGUCAGCCUUACCUCGGUCAUUUGUAACAUAAUAAGUGCAAGCACAAUGAUUGCAAUGCGGGAACACUGGGGGAAGGGCAAAAAUGCUGCAUAAUACAAAUACAAGAAAAAAAAGGUGCUCAUUAUACAGUAAAACAUGUGCUAAAAAUUAGUGAAGAUGACAUCUCAUGAGACUUCAUGCGAAAUAAAUUAAUGUGCUGAUAUGUUUUUAAUUAUUAUUUUUGUACCAGCUUAUUUCAUUCCCAGGAUUCACAUCAGGCAGCAAAGGCUUGCUAGCAUUUAUUGAUUUCCCCCCCCCCCCCCCCGCCACAUUCCCAGAAUGCAGGCUUUAAUCAUUUCACUGCACCACACUCAGUAAUUUCAUUAAAAACUGGAACCUUCCAUCUUCAGAAAGGCAUUUAAUUUCAAUGACACACAAUUUCUCUUAGCAGCAAACCAUCUCAACAGUAAAAGCUGGCCUAAGGUUCAAAUGCAUAAUUUAGUCCUGAGUUCCCCAUGCUCUGCAUUCCUUUGAAGCUGUAAUUUGACUAACUACCUAAUAACUGUAAUAAGGACAAUGAUUUCCUUAUAAUAUGUUAUUAACCCAUAUUUAAUGAACUCAGAGGCCAAGCUCUGUACAUGUUUGGGUCAGUACCUCUCUAACCUCAAAAUUUUCUAACGAUGUUCUUAGGAAAAAAAAGCAUGGGAUAAGAGUGAGUAUAUACCUAUACUCAUGCCUGCUUUGCUCAAGAUAAUAAUAUUGUAACUUACAUAACAGGAUUCUACAACAAGAGAAACAAGCACUGCAUGAAGCUCUCUUUGUUCAGGACCAAAAAAAUCAAAGCCACAUUUUCUCUGACCAAGGUAGUGUUCUCCUUUUUUCCUGUUUUUUAGUCACAAGGGUUCAGAAAAGACUGCCUCAAAAUUCAGUGUGAAUCUGCAGUAAUUACACCCACAAGUGAAAAGAAAUGCUUUCAGGAGAGUACCGCAGCUGUUACGUAGCAGACAUCAAAAUUACACAAUUGUUCAGGACAGGAAGUGAUGGCAUCUCUCAUUAAACUAAAACUAAACAGGAAAUAACUUUACAUAAUUAGCCAACUUGAAAUCUGGCCAGGUCAUAGGGAUUAAGAACUCUUAGAAAAGUUCGGCUCACUCUGUGUUAAUUGGCCAUGAGCAUGAUUUCAAAGCAGAGAACAUUCCAUACUGCAUAUGAUGUAGAGUACACACCAAAAAAAAGGUUAUAUAUGUACAAACUGACAAAAUAAGCUUCUUUUCAGCUACUAAAGGUACGUUAGCUUAAGAUUGAAGGUUUAAAUAGUUCUGUUCCUAACAUACAUUUUAGUUGGCUACCAUUAAGUUACACUAACUAAUCUUCAGCAUUUUAAAGUACAAUGAAGAAUUUCUUUCCAACACUUUCAAUACCACAAUAGAAACAAC
ensembl:lncRNA